CUAUUGUGGUAUAUAUCCAGUUAGGGAAUGCGCGUUUAAUUUCCUAAAACGUUUUUCAAAUUUCAGAAGUAGAGAUAUAAAAUUCAUAAUUUCUAAAUUUCAGUGUUACAUUACAUUUGUAUCGCUAUUGUUCUCGAAUAAUGUUUUUUCAAUAUGUACGUACGUAUGUUCCGCAGAAAACAUCUUAACCUUUCGUCAGUUCCACGUGCUAUAGUUUACAGAAAGAGUUUGUGUUUAUCAUUAAUUAGUUAUUAAUCUUUCAUUAACAUAUGAAACUCUUUCAUUAAAAUAUGAAAACUCAAUUUCUUAUAUUAAAAUCUAUGAACAGAAGACGUAGAAAGUGGAUGCAGCGAAGUGAAGUUAUAAUUGACUGUAGAAAUGGUCAGCCAACAUUGAAUUAUGGAUAAGUUAAUGUUGAUGUUGCUUAUGGGUUGAGGAAGACAAUCGAGGAAUAAACGAUCCUACCUGAUAUACAGGUAGGAUUCAGAGAAGGGGACAAUAGACAACUCAUACAUUCUGCAACAUGUGGUUGAGAAGGAGUUGGAAAAGAAAGGAGGAAAGAUAGUGAUUUUCUUCAUUGACUUAAAAGCAACCUUUGAUAGUAACAAUAGGAGAUUGCUAUGAAAAAUGAUGGAGAAGAAAGGAAUAGAGAAAGGGCUGAUAGAACGGAUAAAAGAAAUCUACGAGAAAACGAGCAAUGUAGUAAGAGGUGGAGAAGCCCUGUCGGAAGAAUUUUGGACAAGGGAGGGGGUGCGGCAAGGAUGCGUGCUAAGUCCAACACUAUUUACCUUAUUUCUAGCAGAUAUAGAGGAAGAGCUUGCGAGGGAACAGUGUGGUGAGAUAAUGGUAGAUAGGUUAAGAUUCCGGUCUCUGUCAUAUGCAUGGCGGUGGUCACCAGCACAAAAUAGAAAAUACAACAACUUACAAAGAGGUUGGAAAAGUAUCUGGAUAGUAAAAAACUUAUUCUCUAACGUGGAGAAAUCUAAAAUUAUGAUUUCAGGGAGGAUAUUCAGGAAGGAGAAAAGAGAGAAAGAAAAUGGCUUUGGAAAUAGAAAGGCAAAGAAAUUGAAGUGGUCAGGGCGUAAUACCUGGGCGUAAAAUUCCAGAGAAAUGGGAAAUGGAGUAAGCAUAUAAAGGAGAGGGUAAAAAAUACACAAAUAGUCAUACAGCAGGUCUACGGAUGGAAGGUUUUGGCUGAAGAUAAAGGCAAUACAGACUAUAUGUGAAAUGGUGCCUUGGGCUGGAAAGAAGUACGCCAAAUUACAUAGUUCUUGAGGAAGUAAAAAAGGAUAAACUAAGGAUUUCAACAGGUCUCAUACGACAUUUCAAGAGCAAUGUCGUAUGAGACCUUGAGAUGGACGAAUGGAAAGUGGACAGCAAAAGAAUGUCUAAAGGAAAAAGAAGAAGGAAGAAUGAAAAUAAGAAGUGAGAGGGAGAAAGUCGUUUUACUAAAGCUGCGGAUAUAGUCUAAUAGGUAAGACUGAUAGGAAAUGGCAAUAUAAUAGAGGCAAUUAGACAAAGGAGUAGAGAGGUACAGGGGCAAUUGCAAUACAACAAAAUCCAAGAGUCUAGCUAUAAUCGUAGGUAUAAAUAUAUUAGGAUUAGUGAUUGGCCAGAUUACUUAAAUAAGAUAAGGGUAGGAAUUCAUAGCGAGAGCCAGGUGCGGAAAUUUGAAGGAAGGUAACAGGAUGAAAGAGGAGAGUAGGAGAUGUAUAUUGUGUGAAAGAGGGCACACUGAAGCAUCUGGUAAAGGAUUGUAAAGUGUUGAGCUGAGUGAGGCUGAUAUAGUGUCAGGGAAGGCAAAUAGCGACAUUGUAAGAUGGUUAGCGGAAUUAGAGAAGAAGAGAAGGGAAAAGAGAGCGAAUGGAAGUAAUGAAAAAGGCGGCGAAUGGGAGAACGAUAUGGAAGAAUGAGAUUAAGAAUAUAGUGUAAAGUUCUAUUUCAUGGCCGAGAAUGGUCGAAAUAAAUAAAUAAUAUUCUACUAAAUUGACAUUAUUGUAACAUCUUUUAAAUGUUUUAAAUGUUUAGAGAAAUAAACCGCACUUUUUUAAAGAUUUUCUAAAAUCAUCUUUUUUUUAAAGAACAUUUUUAUUUAAUUCAGAUAGACUUAAAAUAAUUAAGGAGAGUAAGAUUUCUUUAAG